GGAGAGGUGGCAGAGUGGUUGAAUGCACUGGUCUUGAAAACCAGCAAGGGUUAGUAGCCCUUCGUGGGUUCAAAUCCCACCCUCUCCGCCA
rnacentral:tRNA from 2 species